rnacentral:rRNA from 1 species
UACGGAGGGUGCGAGCGUUGUCCGGAAUCACUGGGCGUAAAGGGCGCGUAGGUGGCGCGAGUAGUCAACGGUGAAAGCCCGGGCUCAACCCCGGGUCGGCCGUCGAUACUCUCGUGCUUGAGCACUGUAGAGGCAGGUGGAAUUCCGGGUGUAGCGGUGGAAUGCGUAGAGAUCCGGAAGAACGACCGGUGGCGAGGCGGCCUG